GGAAUAUUGGGCAAUGGGCGGGAGCCUGACCCAGCCAUGCCGCGUGCAGGAAGAAGGCGUUAUGCGGUGUAAACUGCUUUUAUACGGGAAGCAAAGGCCCAUGCGUGGGACAUUACCGGUACCGUAUGAAUAAGCAACGGAGCAAUACGUGCCAGCAGCCGCGGUAAUACGGAGGGUGCAAGCGUUGUCCGGAUUUAUUGGGUUUAAAGGGUGCGUAGGCGGCCGAUUAAGUCAGCGGUGAAAGGCUGUGGCUCAACCAUAGAAGCGCCGUUGAUACUGGUCGGCUUGAGUGCCGUAUGGGUACAUGGAAUUGAUGGUGUAGCGGUGAAAUGCAUAGAUACCAUCAGGAACACCGAUAGCGUAGGCAUUGUACUGUGCGGCAACUGACGCUGAGGCACGAAAGCAUGGGUAGCGAAC
rnacentral:rRNA from 1 species